AUUGAACGCUGGCGGCAGGCCUAACACAUGCAAGUCGAAUGGUAACAGGAAACAGCUUGCUGUUUCGCUGACGAGUGGCGGACGGGUGAGUAAUGUCUGGGAAACUGCCUGAUGGAGGGGGAUAACUACUGGAAACGGUAGCUAAUACCGCAUAACGUCGCAAGACCAAAGAGGGGGACCUUCGGGCCUCUUGCCAUCAGAUGUGCCCAGAUGGUAUUAGCUAGUAGGUGGGGUAACGGCUCACCUAGGCGACGAUCCCUAGCUGGUCUGAGAGGAUGACCAGCCACACUGGAACUGAGCCACGGUCCAGACUCCUACGGGAGGCAGCAGUGGGGAAUAUUGCACAAUGGGCGCAAGCCUGAUGCAGCCAUGCCGCGUGUAUGAAGAAGGCCUUCGGGUUGUAAAGUACUUUCAGCGGGGAGGAAGGGAGUAAAGUUAAUACCUUUGCUCAUUGACGUUACCCGCAGAAGAAGCACCGGCUAACUCCGUG
rnacentral:rRNA from 1 species